GUCUUUGUGGUGUAAUGGUAGCACACUCGGUGCAUAUUUGAGAGGUCCAGGUUCGAGUCCUGGCAAGGUCA
rnacentral:tRNA from 1 species